rnacentral:rRNA from 1 species
AUGGAAAUGCCAGAAUCACAACGUUCUGGUAACCCUCGGGGCAUCCCACUCGUCUGGCUUCGUGAUAACUUUCUUCAUUUAUCUAGCUUCGCCAAUGAGGAGACGAGAAAAAGACAUCUGUUUGCAUAUUUGUUGUGGCUCCUCGGGAAUCUAUUUCCAAAUUCACAUGGGGACGUUGUUGUCCCUGGUCUCAUCUACAUUGCGGAGAAUAUGGUAGAUGAACCUUUACCCGAGCAGCCAAAAUACAGCUUCGGUUCUGCCAUGCUAUCUCAUACAUACAGAGGCUUGUGUGAUGCCACGCAAAAAACCUCUUUCGCACAAAAAGCUCCAUUACUUUGUGUCGCCUAUGAGUUUCUACAGUUGUGGUCCUGGGAAUACCUCCCUGUAGGACGACCUCGUAUAGUACAACCCAUAUACCCAUAUGACUUUGGCGAGGGUGCUAGCGCAACUAUGGCCACCAGGUGGACAAAGGCACGGAAACGUUGGUCUCCAGAUAUUGCGAAAAAUUGUUACCCUAUGUACCACCAGCAGUUUGAGAUACUUGAUGAGGCAGAAGUCACAUGGAACCCGUGGACUCAGGACCAGCUAAAAAUGGUCUUUGAUGCUCGACACUUCACACCAGGCAUGUUGACCGAUAGUGCAUUCUGGCUGACUCGCUGCAACUUAUUGUUCCUGUGGCUAACCAAUAUGGGCAGGGGUUGGAGUUUAUACGAUUGGAGGGAAGAGAACAGUGAAUGGGUACACAAGUGGACAAAUGAAGCGCUAGCAGAUAUAGUGCGUCAACUAAGGCCGUACGAUGGAAGUACAGAUCAAGCGUACAAGCAGUGGUACUGCAUGAACACACGUGCUAGCCUGGCCAGUCAGCUAGCUACUAUACCAACACAUCUCACACAAGAGGAGCAGGCGCGGAGACAUGUUGAGCUGCAUGCAGCUUACUAUCGUGACCACCUGCUUGAAAAUGUCAACGAAGUAGGGCAGAUGGCUACGGAUAGCAUGCCGGCCCAGGGCCCAUAUCGCAAGACAUUCCAGAAACUUUUGCAACAAUUCGUGGCAAAGAAGUUCAGAUGCGGUAGAGGCGACGACGUUGCCACUGGAGCAUACAUGCCGGUAGCGAGGUCAGCCAGACCGAGUGCGGCACCGUCGUCCAGACCGAGCGAGGCGCGUACGAGCCAUGAGCAAUGGGGGGAGGGUCCGAGUACUAGAACGACAUUGCCACGACAUGACUCAUCUCUACCACUGCAUCGCUCUUCUUCGAUGCAGCUUCGUCAGGGGCAGACAUCUCAGGACCAUGGCACGGGCUUGGAUUCGAUGCCCGAGCAGUUUCUUUCCCCUAACCCAUAUGCGUACACAGGAUAUGAUGCAUACACCCAAGGUGAGGGAUCUCAGCCGUUUCUCUCCACGCGAGGGAUCCCCAUGCCCGAGGAGACUCGUGUACCAGAUUUAAACCAGCACCAAGUACAAUGGCCAGACAGUAUAGGAGAGGGAUAUGCUCAGGACACACCUGAUGUUAAUUGGGGCGAUGAGAACACCCAACGCGGCGUCAACACAGGCCUCCGGGGAGCAUCACAUGAUCAUGGCGUCAACACAGGCCUCCGGGGAGCAUCACAUGAUCUUGGCGACACGGUUACAUCAUUAGUUACAGAGUUCUUCGGAGGGGAUGUUAUUGGCCCAUCUUUUAUCCCCCCGGAGUCACAACCAUACGCGUACAAUUACGCUUCAGGUUCGCAACAAGGAUUCGCGACUCCACCACCUACGCAGGACUCGCAGACACAUGAAGCCGAAUUGGAGUACGGCCGCGGUCUUCGUGUGACCCGACCACCUAAUCGCUUGUCCCCUUCCGGUCGUAAGGAAAGGCCAGGUGGUCAUCGUAAAGGGUGCCGCCUCACCCAGUGGCGGCGAGGCCCACUGGCGGGGCCCGCUCUCAGCAGGGCCUGUCGGCUAGGCACCGACCGCGCCAGGGGAGGCCGCCUCACCCGGUGGCGGCCGGGCCGACCUGGCCAGUCCCGUUCCGUCGCGGCGCGAAGCACUGCCGAUAAUCCGUUCGCAAGGGGUGGCCGCCUCCUCCGGUGGCGGCCGGGCCCGCCGCCUCCUGGCACGGCGGCAGGCGCCACGUGUCCCCUGCCGCGCCUGCCGCCACUAGCGAGGGGGUCCUUUUUGACAAUGUUUUUGACAUGUGGUCUUUUUUGGCAAUUCUGUUGGCCAGGGGGUCUUUUUGGACAAAAAAUCCGUCGACGGGCAGUGGCUGAGCACAGUGCUAUGGCCCAAUGGGCUACUUACCUUUAUACGUACACUACACCUGGGAGGGGGCCUCUAGAUCUCGGGGGCCCGGGGCGGCCGCCCCCCUGCCCCCCCUCAGGGGCGGCCCUGAGUGGUGGUACACCGAUACGUGACGGCGCAGCCCUACCAGCUGGAGCACGAACUGAGCUAUCCCGUGAAAGAAGAAACGAUGCCCGACAGAGCGGCAACAUUGGCACCGGUAUUUUGGUUGCCUCCUGUGUUCCAUCACAAGUUCUUAACCAAACUUAUUAUGCUAAGGGUAUCUCCAAGGUGGACCCGGACUGCCAAAGCCAUCCAACGCGGUCCUAUAUCAGUACGCGGGGAGGUCCAGACGCGAUUUCUCCCGCAAAACGAGACAAAAGUGGGGGAGCUUUACGGGAGUCUGGACAUGCGAAACGUACAAACCCGACACAGGUCCACCCAAAACCCUUCUCGGACCUCGCGAUUCUAUCAUCUCCAUUUUCUCUUCUUACUUAUUUCUUUCUUGCAAUCGCCCCCGCUUCACCACCCCGGCCACCAUGCCACACGCCUGCCGGAAAUCUCCGUCUACCUCACCUUCGGCGCUCUAGCAGCGCUCCCCGCAACUUCUUCUCCGUCUCCGUUCAACCCCCUGUCCUCGGAUCGCCCAGCGAGUAUGUUGAUUCGUCCGACGGCUCGUCGGACGAGGAGGAGUACUCUGAUGAGAUGGCGAUGAUGCAGGCGGCCCUUGAAGACGCGGAGCGUGUGGAGGAGCAUGUUCCCAUUUUCAAGGGCUCGAUCAAGGGUCAUCGAGUCGUCAACCGCAACAGGGUGCGCGUGCAUUCGACACAGAUGACCGACUACUUUGCCCUCGAUGCACUAUUCACUGACCAUUUUCGCCAGCGUUUUCGAAUGCGCAAGACUGUCUUCGAUCAUUUGUAUCAUGGUGUCCGGUCCUAUGAUGAGUAUUUCAUCCUGAAGAAGGACGCCGUGGAAACGAUUGGUUUCUCUGGUUACCAGAAGUGCAUGGCCGCACUUCGGUUGCUUGCAUAUGGCAUGACUGCUGAUUCGUGGGAUGAAUACAUAUGGAUGUCUGAUAGCACAUAUGGAGAUGCUAUGGUCAGCCGCACCUAA